rnacentral:lncRNA from 1 species
ACGGGGCCAAGACUCGGCCUCCUGGCUGGAGGCUCCACUGUCUGGGUGGGGCUGGUGGUGCCAGGGUCAAAUCCUGGGGCCUUCAUGCUCAAUUGUUGCUGACGAGGCCGCCUGGACAGCUUGCCUGGUCCCCUGUAUGUCCACUCUGGAUGUCCACAGUGACUCGGGCUCCUCAGCAGCCCACGUCCUCCUCACCAUCUCCCAGAACAGAGGCCCACGGAGUACCGCUCGCAGUUGAGGUAGGCCCGCACCGUGUAGAAGGCCUUGUGGAACUGCCUCUCGAUGUCCGUCAGCUCCUCAAACACCUUGUUGGCCGACCACAGCAGCACCUGGAGGGAGGGGCACACCUGUGGGCCUGUGGCCACUCCCACCCUCACGCCGGUCUGACCACAGCAGCAGGGGUUUAACUCAAGCCUGACACAGGUUUCAUCUGAGCUUGUGGGGCCCGGGAGCUGGCUGGCGGUGAGGCCUCGAGGCUGCGGUCGUGUCCCUGAUCACUCAGGAGUGGACGAGUGGAAAGUGGAAUCUGUCGCUUUGAGCUUGACAGGCAAACAUCCGACCAGCCCUUCCUCCGCCCGGCUGCUCCAGAACCACCUGCGGCGAGCAGGGCUUUGAGAACAUCGGGCCGUGGUUUCCGCACGUCAGGCCGCCUGUGGCCUCCGCCAAGCGUCUGAGAGUGAAGCAUUGCUGACGCACUCCACGAGGUCCUGGCCAGACCCCACUCAGGACAUCCCGCUGCACAGGCCCCUGGUUGCUGGGUCAGCGCUGCCACCAGGCUCAGACUCACCCCAGGGCCCUCCUUGGGCCACCUUUCUCUGCCUCCUUGGUCAAGGCCCAGACCCAGGCCCCACCAGGCCCUGCCUCCUCACACUCGCGGCGGCCGCUGGGUCUUCUACCGCAUGGUGCCAGCUCCCUCUCCUCCGCUGCGGUGUCCUAGCCCAGCUCUCUCCCUGCCAGGCCCUCUGAAGUUCCACCCCCUGGCACUCAGCUCAUGGUGGGAACAGGACCAGGCUCUCCUGUUGCCAAGGGCAGUGAGAUGUUCG